rnacentral:piRNA from 1 species
UAGACACACCGAUUUGAAAAGUCCACGUUGC